rnacentral:lncRNA from 1 species
ACUUUGUGGAGGUGCCUAGGCGGUGGACUCUCGCCUGUCUUCUCUGUGGGAUCCACGGGAUAGUCCCAUGAUCCUAGGAGAGGGCAGACGUGAGCCAGCCUGAAGAAACGCCAAGCAGGAGCCCCAGGAAUAAACCGCAAAAUCCCUAAGGAUCCAAAAGGAUCUGCAGGAUGCCUCAGGCCUGCCUAGUCAUCGUAGGGAUAUGGACACUAUUGAUGGGAGCGGCUGGCCAUCUGGAGUGGCAGUUGCCAUCAUGCCAGUAGCGCUUGGGCCGCAUGGGCAGUGUUGUCAGGAGCAGCAGCAGGAGCAGCAGUGGCGGUGGUGGUUUAAGUGUGAAGGUUUACUGAAGAUUUAAAGAGUGUUAUCACAGUUGGGAUGAUUUAAACUAACAGUACACGUUGCAUUUUAAGAAAAUAAUUAAUCCUCAGAGGAGAUAUGGGUUAUGGAGCCAUGACAAAUUUUCAGCAUUACUUCCCUUACUUGUUGUUUCCAAAUAAAAGAUUUUUGA